rnacentral:tRNA from 1 species
UGGGGUGUGGCUCAGCAGCAGAGCACUCGCCUAGCACAUGUGAGGCCCUGGGUUCAAUCCUCAGCAACACAU